rnacentral:rRNA from 1 species
UCAAAUCAGGUAGGACUACCCGCUGAACUUAAGCAUAUCAAUAAGCG